AAUCAACGCUGGCGGCGUGCCUAACACAUGCAAGUCGAACGCGAAAGCCCGCAAGGGCAAGUAGAGUGGCGCACGGGUGAGUAACACGUGGACAACCUGCCUUCGAGUGGGGAAUAACCUUCCGAAGGAGGGCUAACACCGCAUAACACCUCAGGACACAAGUUCUGAGGUUGAAAGAGCAAUUUGCUCGAAGAGGGGUCUGCGCCUGAUUAGCUAGUUGGUGAGGAACGGCUCACCAAGGCUUCGAUCAGUAGCCGUCCUGAGAGGGAGCACGGCCACACUGGAACUGAGACACGGCCCAGACUCCUACGGGAGGCAGCAGUGGGGAAUUUUUGGCAAUGGGCGAAAGCCUGACCAAGCAACGCCGCGUGGGUGAUGAAGUAUCUUGGUACGUAAAACCCUUUCGGCAGGGACGAACCUAAUGACGGUACCUGCGGAAGAAGCCCCGGCUAACUCCGUGCCAGCAGCCGCGGUAAG
rnacentral:rRNA from 1 species